UGGGCGGGACAACUCGUAGGACUG
rnacentral:piRNA from 1 species